rnacentral:rRNA from 1 species
GACGAACGCUGGCGGCGUGCCUAAUACAUGCAAGUAGAACGCACAGUUUAUACCGUAGCUUGCUACACCAUAAACUGUGAGUUGCGAACGGGUGAGUAACGCGUAGGUAACCUGCCUGGUAGCGGGGGAUAACUAUUGGAAACGAUAGCUAAUACCGCAUAAUAUUGAUUAUUGCAUGAUAAUUGAUUGAAAGAUGCUAUUGCAUCACUACCAGAUGGACCUGCGUUGUAUUAGCUAGUAGGUGAGGUAACGGCUCACCUAGGCGACGAUACAUAGCCGACCUGAGAGGGUGAUCGGCCACACUGGGACUGAGACACGGCCCAGACUCCUACGGGAGGCAGCAGUAGGGAAUCUUCGGCAAUGGACGAAAGUCUGACCGAGCAACGCCGCGUGAGUGAAGAAGGUUUUCGGAUCGUAAAGCUCUGUUGUAAGAGAAGAACGGGUGUGAGAGUGGAAAGUUCACACUGUGACGGUAUCUUACCAGAAAGGGACGGCUAACUACGUGCCAGCAGCCGCGGUAAUACGUAGGUCCCGAGCGUUGUCCGGAUUUAUUGGGCGUAAAGCGAGCGCAGGCGGUUAGAUAAGUCUGAAGUUAAAGGCUGUGGCUUAACCAUAGUACGCUUUGGAAACUGUUUAACUUGAGUGCAGAAGGGGAGAGUGGAAUUCCAUGUGUAGCGGUGAAAUGCGUAGAUAUAUGGAGGAACACCGGUGGCGAAAGCGGCUCUCUGGUCUGUAACUGACGCUGAGGCUCGAAAGCGUGGGGAGCGAACAGG